rnacentral:rRNA from 1 species
GACAGAGGAUGCAAGCGUUAUCCGGAAUGAUUGGGCGUAAAGCGUCUGUAGGUGGCUUUUAAGUCCGCCGUCAAAUCCCAGGGCUCAACCCUGGACAGGCGGUGGAAACUACCAAGCUGGAGUACGGUAGGGGAGACUGGAAUUCCUGGUGUAGCGGUGGAAUGCGCAGAUAUCAGGAGGAACACCGAUGGCGAAGGCAGGUCUCUGGGCCGACUACUGACGCUGAGAAGCGAAAGCAUGGGGAGCGAACAGG